rnacentral:rRNA from 1 species
GAUGAACGCUGACAGAAUGCUUAACACAUGCAAGUCGAUGGGGAAGUGGUGCUUGCACCAUGGUAACCAUGGCGGACGGGUGAGUAACGCGUAAGGAACUUGCCUGCGGGACUGGGAUAACAGCAGGAAACUGCUGAUAAUACCGGAUAAGGUCAUUAAGCUACAUAGCUUAGUGAUGAAAGGAGACGCCUGCGGAGAGCCUUGCGUCCUAUUAGCUAGUUGGAGGGGUAACGGCCCACCAAGGCGAAGAUAGGUAGCCGGCCUGAGAGGGUGGACGGCCACAAGGGGACUGAGAUACGGCCCUUACUCCUACGGGAGGCAGCAGUGGGGAAUAUUGGACAAUGGGGGCAACCCUGAUCCAGCAAUUCUGUGUGCACGAAGACGGUUUUCGGAUUGUAAAGUGCUUUCAGCAGGGAAGAAGGAAGUGACGGUACCUGCAGAAGAAGCGACGGCUAAAUACGUG